CAGGUUUGAUCAUGGCUCAGGAUGAACGCUAGCUACAGGCUUAACACAUGCAAGUCGAGGGGCAGCAUUUUAGUUUGCUUGCAAACUAAAGAUGGCGACCGGCGCACGGGUGAGUAACACGUAUCCAACCUGCCGAUAACUCGGGGAUAGCCUUUCGAAAGAAAGAUUAAUAUCCGAUAGCAUAUUAGAACCGCAUGGUUUUACUAUUAAAGAAUUUCGGUUAUCGAUGGGGAUGCGUUCCAUUAGUUGUUGGCGGGGUAACGGCCCACCAAGACUACGAUGGAUAGGGGUUCUGAGAGGAAGGUCCCCCCACAUUGGAACUGAGACACGGUCCAAACUCCUACGGGAGCA
rnacentral:rRNA from 1 species